AAUAUUAUAAAAACGGCAUUUUUACUGACCUUUGAAAAUAGAAAUAGAAAAUAGUAACAUUAUAGGCUAAUAUUACUUGUAGUGAGAUAACUGGAAAACUAUAGGCCCGUGUUGUAUGUGACCUUGAUGUUAGCUUCCAGCUCCUGUAGUUUUUAGAUGAUUGGCAUGCCUUGUCUGCUGUUAGCUUGUGGAUAUGUGGACUUUUUUCUUAAGGUUAAUUCAGGGUGCUGAUCUUUGUUUUUAGAGAGCAUGUGUGUCUUGUGUGUGGGGUGCUACCAUGAUGCUCUCAGUACUUUCCUUGAUUAAUGUUAUAAAAGUGGCAUUUUUAAUACUUCACUGACAUCUGUUUUUCACCUCACAGAUUUACGGCUAUUGACCAUUUCUUGAUCGAUAAACGCUACUUCACUUCAGUGACUUGAAUCCAGUUCUUCGUUGACCUUCAAUAUCCAGUUGUUUGUCUUCACCUUUUCAGGUUCCCUGUGUCCAGCAUCUUCAAGACAGACUAAGCUAACUUUUCAUAUUUUUUUCACAUUUACUAUUUAGGUUUAGACAGUACUGUUAGGUUUGGAGUAGGUUAUAUUUAGAGUAGAGUAUUUAGUUUGUAUAGUUUAGCUUUUUAUGCUAGUCUAGGGACAGUUAAGUCAGCGAAUCAAUUCAGUUGAAAUCUUUAAAAGUUGCAUAUUCUCGUUACAAUUGUGAUAUUUUGUGAGCUUUUGUUGUACAGGCUAUUCUAUAUUGCAGGACCACGUGAGACGAGGAAGACCACUGCAGGCCCACGUGUGACCAAGAAGGCCAGGGUAAUAUUUACUGCGUUGUAAAUACAUCUCCAAAUUGUUUCCAAGAUGCCAAGGAAGGGCAAGCGAUCCCGUGCUCAGAAAGUGCGUUGGACAACAGUCAACCUUGCAGAUCCUGCCCCACUCAGCCCAACCACGUCUGACCAUUGGGCACAGAUGGUACCGCAAACACCUCCAUCAACCAGCCAGCUAUGGAAAAUGGAGAAUGCACCCACCCCAACUAAUUCUCCAGCCUACAAGGUUCUGAAAAUACAGACACCGCCCCAGUCAAAGUACCGCUGGAUGACCUCUGAAGAACGGGGGCUGGAUGCACCCACCUGCCCCCGUUCACCAGCUGAAAAGGUAGCAUUGAAUUAAA